rnacentral:rRNA from 1 species
CUUUCUUUGCUGGCGACCGGCGCACGGGUGAGUAACACGUAUCCAACCUGCCUCAUACUCGGGGAUAGCCUUUCGAAAGAAAGAUUAAUAUCCGAUAGCAUAUAUUUCCCGCAUGGGUUUUAUAUUAAAGAAAUUCGGUAUGAGAUGGGGAUGCGUUCCAUUAGUUUGUUGGGGGGUAACGGCCCACCAAGACUACGAUGGAUAGGGGUUCUGAGAGGAAGGUCCCCCACAUUGGAACUGAGACACGGUCCAA